UAUUCCCCACUGCUGCCUCCCGUAGGAGUCUGGGCCGUGUCUCAGUCCCAAUGCGGCCGAUCAACCUCUCAGUUCGGCUACAGAUCGUCGACUUGGUGAGCCGUUACCUCACCAACUAUCUAAUCUGACGCGAGUCCAUCCAUAAGCGAUAAAUCUUUCAUAUACUUUCCAUGCGAAUUGUAUACUGUAUGAGGUAUUACUCGACGUUUCCAUCGGCUAUCCCUCUCUUAUGGGCAGGUUACUCACGCGUUACUCGCCCGUCCGCCACUGUCCAUCCUUAACUUCAUCCCGAAGAAAUCUGUUAAGAAUUUCUCGUUCGACUUGCAUGUGUUAGGCACGCCGCCAGCGUUCAUCCUGAGCCAA
rnacentral:rRNA from 1 species